CUCCCAUUGCUCAACAACAACCAACACACUGGUAUGCUAUUAACUGUUUCAUCUGAAAUUAGGAGAGAUUUAGUGGUUUAAAUUUCAUUUAGGGACAUGGAGAUUUCAGCUGAUGGCUAAUGUCUUCUGAAACUGAAUUAGAAGAACACGUACAUAAUUUGAGUUUGAGCUUAACUAAAAGAUAUUCAUGGAGAUAAGAGAAUCAUAGGUGUUGAAAGGAACAUCUGGGGAUCAUAGAGUCCAACCCCACUGAUAAAGAAGGUUCCCUAAAGACUCAGCAUUUCUGACCCGGUACUAGAAGACUAAAGACUGUGUUUGCUGAACCAUGCUUCUAGUCAAAUUUAGGAGCAAUGCAAGUGUAGGAAGACAUUGCUUAUUCAGAAGAAUUUGAAUACUAAAAACAGAGCAAACAAGCGUGCAUAGCAGACCACACAGGAGACAACUUUCUUGAUAAUGACAGGCUACUAAAGAACCAUGUAACGAUGUUGGUUGUGUGAACAAAAGGUAGUCGAGCUGAUGCUUCAAAUAUAAUUCUUGUGGGAAUUAGAUGCAGUA